AGCAGCCGCGGUAAUUCCAGCUCCAAUAGCGUAUAUUAAAGUUGUUGCAGUUAAAAAGCUCGUAGUUGAAUUUCGGGAUCAGUAGGUUGGUCAUGCCUCUGGUAUGUACUGGUCUCACUGGUUCCUCCUUCCUGAUGAACUGUAAUGCCAUUAAUUUGGUGUUGCGGGGAGACUGGACUGUUACUUUGAAAAAUUAGAGUGUUUAAAGCAGGCUUACGCUUGAAUACAUUAGCAUGGAAUAAUGAAAUAGGACGUUCGAUCCUAUUUUGUUGGUUUUUAGGAUUGACGUAAUGAUUAAUAGGGAUAGUUGGGGGCAUUAGUAUUCAAUUGUCAGAGGUGAAAUUCUUGGAUUUAUUGAAGACUAACUACUGCGAAAGCAUUUGCCAAGGAUGUUUUCAUUAAUCAAGAACGAAAGUUAGGGGAUCGAAGACGAUCAGAUACCGUCGUAGUCUUAAACCAUAAACUAUGCCGACUAGGGAUCGGAUGAUGUUAAUUUUAUAAUGACUCAUUCGGACG
rnacentral:rRNA from 1 species